rnacentral:rRNA from 1 species
GACCUGGCCGGGCGGUCCGCCUAACGGUGUGUACUGUCUGGCCGGGCCUUACCUCUUGGUGAGCUGGCAUGCCCUUAGUUGGGUGUGUCGGGGAACCAGGACGUUUACCUUGAGAAAAUUAGAGUGUUCAAAGCAGGCCUACGCCGGAAUACAUUAGCAUGGAAUAAUAAAAUAGGACGUGCGGUUCUAUUUUGUUGGUUUCUAGAGUCGCCGUA